rnacentral:rRNA from 1 species
CUUUUCCUACGGGACGCAGCAGUGGGGAAUAUUGCACAAUGGGGGAAACCCUGAUGCAGCGACGCCGCGUGAGUGAAGAAGUAUUUCGGUAUGUAAAGCUCUAUCAGCAGGGAAGAAAAUGACGGUACCUGACUAAGAAGCCCCGGCUAACUACGUGCCAGCAGCCGCGGUAAUACGUAGGGGGCAAGCGUUAUCCGGAUUUACUGGGUGUAAAGGGAGCGUAGGUGGCAGGGCAAGUCAGAUGUGAAAACCCGGGGCUCAACCCCGGGAGUGCAUUUGAAACUGUCCAGCUGGAGUGCAGGAGG